rnacentral:rRNA from 1 species
AUUGAACGCUGGCGGUAUGCUUAACACAUGCAAGUCGAACGGUAACAUGGGAGCUUGCUCCUGAUGACGAGUGGCGGACGGGUGCGUAACGCGUGGGAAUCUACCUUGUAGUGGGGGAUAGCCCGGAGAAAUCCGGAUUAAUACCGCAUAAUCUCUACGGAGGAAAAGGGGCCUCUCCUUGGAAGCUCUUGCUAUUAGAUGAGCCCGCGUUAGAUUAGCUAGUUGGUGAGGUAAUGGCUCACCAAGGCAACGAUCUAUAGCUGGUUUGAGAGGAUGAUCAGCCACACUGGGACUGAGACACGGCCCAGACUCCUACGGGAGGCAGCAGUGGGGAAUAUUGGACAAUGGGCGCAAGCCUGAUCCAGCAAUACCGCGUGUGUGAAGAAGGCCUGAGGGUUUGUAAAGCACUUUCAAUAGGGACGAAAUGUUUGGUAGUUAAUAACUCUGAAUCUUGACUUAACCUAUAGAAGAAGCACCGGCUAACU